AAUAGAUACCCGGGUAGUCCACGCCGUAAACGUUGGAUACUAGGUGUGGCGGUCUACCAACGACUGCCGUGCCGAAGCUAACGCAUUAAGUAUCCCGCCUGGGGAGUACGGCCGCAAGGCUAAAACUCAAAGGAAUUGACGGGUCCCCGCACAAGCGGCGGAGCAUGCGGCUUAAUUCGAUGCAACCCGAAGAACCUUACCUGGGUUUGACAUCAUGGGAAAAGCCGUAGAAAUACGGUGUCCGAAAGGGCCCAUGACAGGUGGUGCAUGGCUGUCGUCAGCUCGUGUCGUGAGAUGUUGGGUUAAGUCCCGCAACGAGCGCAACCCUUGUCCUAUGUUGCCAGCGGUUCGGCCGGGGUACUCAUAGGAGACUGCCGGGGAUAACUCGGAGGAAGGUGAGGACGACGUCAAGUCAUCAUGCCCCUUAUAUCCAGGGCUGCACGCAUGCUACAAUGGCCGGUACAACGGGGAAGCGACCCCGCGAGGGUGAGCGGAUCCCUUAAAGCCGGUCCCAGUUCGGAUUGAAGUCUGCAACUCGACUUCA
rnacentral:rRNA from 1 species